UGGUAUCGAUCGAAAAUAAACAUGAGCUUUUGUGGUAACACAUAUUAGCAUAAUUUACAAUUGUUAGAAAACUUAUUAUUAAACUAAACACUAAUAAAUUAAAAUAACAAACUGUAUAUGCCAUCGAUGAUAUUAUAUUAAAAAAAUUCAAAAAUAUUUAACUUUUUAAAUAAAUAAAAAUAUAUGAUCUUUGCAUGACAUAUAAGAGAAGAAUCUUUUUAUCUUAUAUUAAUAAGAUAAUAUCAAAUAGUUGUGUAGAGAUGACAAUUAUCAUAUUUUUCUUAAAACUGGUUAUCAUCUAAUAUAUAUAUUAUUAAAAUUUAUUUACUAAAAAAAAUUCUUAAAAUUAUUGACUAACCUAAAAUCAAAUGUAAUUUUAUAUAAUAAUAAAUAAAAUAAUAUCAAUAUUGUAUAUCUGAAAUAUUGUAAUAUAUGACCACGUUUCCAAAACUGUUUAUUAUUAAAAUAUAUAUAAAAUAUAUAUUUAUAAAAACUAUUGACUAAGCCUAAAAUUAUAUAGAAAGUGACAAAUCAGCAAAUUCACUUCUCAAAUAAUAAUAUAAAUAAAUAUUUUUGUUUUGACUCUUAAUUGCGCAAUUAAUUUGGUCAAAUAUAAUUCUAAUGUAAUGACUAAGGAUACAAAAUACCUUUGUGUGUCCCCAUAUAUAUAUAUAUAUAAACAAUGGUGAUGAGAAAAUAUUCAGCACGAACUAAACAAAACAAUUCACACAAGAAAGCAUAAAAGUCAUUUAUUAAAUUUUGCAUCAUGAAAUCUGCUACUUUGUUUGUGGUUUCUUGUGUUCUCAUGUUCUUCGUGCUGCAUAACACAAAAGUGGAGGCAAAAGAUCAUGCCCCUGAAAUUGUUGUCCACCUUACGAAGGGGAUAUGUCAUGAAGAUCCAACCAUAGCUGCCAAGCAAUGCUUCUAUGAAGUUCUCAACGAAGAAGGAGACGACUACUAUACUCGUUGCAAUUGUAGGGAUGCAGACGGUAGGCAAGGAGACUUUGGACACUAUUGUACAUGUUUUCAUUGAUAUGAUGUAUUGUAUCUCCAUAACUAAAAUAUAAUUGAUAAAAAUUAGAUAUUAA